rnacentral:lncRNA from 1 species
AUGUACAGUAAACACAGGCAGAAAAAAAAUGCCCACACAUCACCGGCGAAAUGCGGACGUCUGCUGCUUUUCCUCUCCCUCCUGCUGCUGAGCGGCUCCGCGGAGAGAGCCGGCGGACGGCCCGGGCGCGAAGGGCUAAGGACGGGAAGGACGGUGACGGCGCAGUGGCUUUCUCAAGGCCGAAUCAAGAGGGAGGCGGAGACCUUGACACAGGUAGAGUACCCAGUCAGAGGGGAAAUAGCGCUCUCAUCCAAUGACCUCCAACUGGUGCUUCAAGUGGAACAUAAUCAGGAGCUUUUAAGUCCCGACUUCUCAGAGACCUACUACACAGAUGAUGGGCAGCCCGUGACUGUGACCAAUCACAAUUACACUGUGAGUACAAAGCAACAGGUUGACGCGUGUUGGAAGUUGUAUCUCAUCACCUCGUCUGUCUGGCACCAACAAUCAUGCCGCAAGUCAAAGUCACAGAGUCUCUGACAGGAUAAUUGCAUUAAUAAGCAGGUGUGCGGAAUAAAGUGCUUAGUAAGUGUACAACGUAACUGAGGAUGUCCUCCCAGUGUGACUGAAUGUUCAUUACAAAUCUUGUCCUUUUACUAAAAUUUUUGUUUGAGUCAAAGCCCAAGACGAAUAACGCCAAUUAUUUUGAAAAACAGCAAUGUUUGACAAAUAAAAAAUAAAAAUCUUUAUUCAAUAACCAAGUUCAACAAAAAUCAAUUCACCCUUUUAUUCUUUAAUUUUUUUUUUCUCCUAUUUUCCCAAUCCACCCUUAUUUUUCAUGACCGAUCCGGUCCUCCUGGAUGUGGAUGAUACCAGCCGUACGCAAAUCUGUGGAGUAUUUGUAUUGUUAUUCACCCUUUUUUUUCAGCUGCUCUUUGCAGGAGGGGUUUUGUUUCUUUGACAUCUACUUCAAAAUACUGAAAAGGUUUUGUAUUUAAUUCAAAUCGGCUGGUGUGUUCUGACACCGUUCUAUCAGAACCAGCAUUAACUCUCUUGUAAUGAGAUAAUCAAUGAAAAUUCCCAUCAACUGUCAAUGGUCAUAGUUAGUCAUGGGCCGCUUUCAAGGUAUACACCGCUAUUCCCAAACUUUUCAACCCUCAAACCCAAAAUGAAAGGUGACUUGAGACCCCCAUUAUCCCCUGAGGUGGUUGAAGCACACAAAGGAUAUUGAUUUUAGGUAGUGCACACACAAAAAAUCCUCUAUGUGCAUGUUUCCUGUGACCUGCUGCAACUGAUGCCUCUGGAGUUGUGUGGGGAGAAAGACAAUUUGAAGGGUGAUGACAUG